rnacentral:rRNA from 1 species
CCCUUAGAUGUUCUGGGCCGCACGCGUGCUACACUGAGUGGAUCAGCGGGUCAGGUUGCGCGAAAGCGUUUCCUAAUCUUUAAAUCCGCUCGUGAUGGGGAUUGACGGUUGCAAUUUUCUGUCAUGAACGAGGAAUACCUUGUAAGCGCGGGUCAUCAUUCCGCGCUGAAUACGUCCCUGCCCUUUGUACACACCGCCCGUCGCUCCUACCGAUUGAGUGGUCCGGUGAGGCUUUGGGAUCUGAGCGGAAAGAGCGUUUCGCUGUUUCUGCUCGGAAAACUCAGUCGAACCUUAUCAUUUAGAGGAAGGAGAAGUCGUAACA